AACCAAUGAAAUCGAUCGGAACCAAAUGAUCUUAAUAAACGUCAAUCACUUUACACAACGGUAGAUGCCCUCAAGACUCGAAAGUGAAAGGAAGCAAAGGCUUCUCUGAACGAAACAAUAAAAAUAACCUUGCCAAAUGGGAAUGAAAUCGAAGGCAUUGCAUGGAAGACAACACCAUUUGAUGUUGCUCUAUCAAUAAGGUUUGGGAGACAAUGCUGUCAUUGCUAAGGUGAAUGGCGAGGUUUUUGAUCUAGAUAGACCAUUAGAGAAUGAUUCCAACCUGGAACUUUUAAAAUUUGAUGACAAAGAAGCUCAACAGGUAUUUUGGCAUUCAAGUGCUCAUAUAAUGGGUGAAGCGAUGGAACGCCAUUAUGGUGGUCUGCUGUGUUAUGGUCCUCCCAUUGAAGAAGGAUUUUAUUAUGAUAUGUUUUUAGAUGAAAAGUAAGCAUACACUUUAACCAUUCGAUAAUGCUCAAUAUAUAACAUAAUUUCUCCAUCAUCA